rnacentral:lncRNA from 1 species
CGACCGCUUCGCCAGAGCUCGGCUCCGGCCCUCGCCCCGCGCCCAGGCCCCGGGCCGCGGAAAGCCUCGCGUCCUAUUGGCUGCAGGAGGGAGGACGGCGCGGGGCGGAGCGCUGAUUGGUCGCCGGGCGAUGCUGCGACCCGCCCCUCGGGGGUCGCGUGACGCCAGGUGGACGGGGGCUCGUGCCCCGGCGGGCGCUGAGGUGGUUCUGGCGGUCGGGGGGUGUUGUCGUGCUGCUCAGCACAGCUUUCGUUCCUCUGUACUCGGCGGAGUUUUUAUGCGUUGCCCUCAGGUGGGAUGAAUUUGACUGCAACAAAAGUCCACUGAGAUGCGUCAGUGUUUCCCGAAGGCUCUUAAUCUCUUAUAACUUCCUCUCCUUUUGGGGGCAGAGCUCCCAUCAGUGCGUACCGCACUGCAGCUGAUGGCGUUCACCCUCUGACACUUUGUUUCUGCUCGAUGUAACGCGAGGGUUUGGGGCGCCGCAGAACUACGUGGUUUCAUGGCAUCGUUUUUAGUUUAGAUCGGCAAAUCGUUAACAAUUACUUUCUGCUUAUCCGUAUCUUCGGAGUCUGGGGACGAGAUCCUUCCUCUUGCGAUCCAUCGGCACCUGAAGGAUCUCUGAAAGGAAACCGGUGGAACGUGUGAGGGCUUCCUCUGGCGGAAAAGAACAAGACGAAAUAAGACACUAGGGAAGCUAAUGUGAGACACUAGUGCCCAAAUCACUUUAGACACGACUGAUAUGGCUGAUGAGGUAAGACAUCUGCAAAAGUAACCUCCUAUGUCUCUCAUGGAGGAAUGCUGCCAUAGAAAGACAGCCCAGGUGGUACCGUGUCUGCAGACUGCUCCAGGGCCCACAGUCCUCCUGGUGGUCUCAGAAGAGCCGAUCACAAGCUGCUGGCCCCACUCUUUGCAGUUGCUAAGCUGUUGUCUCAAGGAGAAUCCAGCUGACAUAGAGGUCCAUAUGUGAGGAAAACAGCCACCUUCAGGUCUGACCAUUCUAAUUUCUACAUGUUGAACAAGCUUGCUGUGGCUGUUUUUGCUGUGCAUAAGCUACUCUGAAUAUGCAUACAGUUUUGAUAAGUGACCAAAGCCAGCUUUUUUCCCUUCACCAAAUAUCUCAUUCAUCUUUCUCAGUCUUAUAGUUCUCCUUACUGCAGACCAUUUUGAUAUUCUGCCAUUCAUGCCACCAGCUUCUCAUUUAUGAAAGAGAAGCAAAAUAAAAUAAACCAAGCAGAAAUAAAGCAGUUUGCUUCAUGCAUAUUCCAAGUUUGAAUCCUGUCUUUAGACUGAUACUUCACAUUCUGUUUUACUUUGAACACAUUCCUGUAUGUUUUCCCAUAGUCUUGCUUCAAGCAAGCAAGACAAGCUGUUCUGAAACUUGCUCUUCCAUCCAAAUACAUGCUACUGAUUUGUGUUUAUAUAUAUGCGUGUGAAUAUAUACUUAUUAUGUGUGUAUGUAUAUAAACUUGCCCAGUCAUCAGGCUACAGUCCACUUUGCUGAAUGUUGAAAUACAUCCAUUGUUGCUACUCCACCCAACUUGAGAAGUUAUACUGGGGCUUUCUUAGACUUGGAAUUUUCCUGUUUUGAACUGUUAAUUAUUUUAAUUAUGAAUAUUAUCUAAGACUUUAAUAAAGGUAGUUUUACCUGUACAAUCUGUACCAUUUAAUUGUCCCCCAUACUGUUUCUCAUUGUAUGAUCAGUGUCUGACCAUCCCUUGUUGUUCUUAUUAGACUCUCACAAGUUAAUCAUUUAUUAAUUCUGGUUUGCAGUUAAAACACUUCCAGUAUUGACAUGCAGAUCAAACAUCUCAGAGUUUUACUGCCACCUCCUGACCUCUGGCACAACUACUGAUAUUUUUUUCAAUCUUGUUUAGUGGUUUGGAUUUGCCUAAAUAAGUCUCUUAGCACCACCAAACUGGGUUGGACAUGGCUGGA